rnacentral:rRNA from 1 species
AUUGAACGCUGGCGGCAUGCUUUACACAUGCAAGUCGAACGGUAACAGGCCGCAAGGUGCUGACGAGUGGCGAACGGGUGAGUAAUUCAUCGGAACGUGCCCAGUCGUGGGGGAUAACUACUCGACAGAGUAGCUAAUACCGCAUACGAUCUAUGGAUGAAAGCGGGGGACCGUAAGGCCUCGCGCGAUUGGAGCGGCCGAUGUCAGAUUCGGUAGUUGGUGGGGUAAAGGCUCACCAAGCCAACGAUCUGUAGCUGGUCUGAGAGUACGACCAGCCACACUGGGACUGAGACACGGACCAGACUCCUACGGGAGGCAGCAGUGGGGAAUUUUGGACAAUGGGCGCAAGCCUGAUCCAGCAAUGCCGCGUGCAGGAAGAAGGCCUUCGGGUUGUAAACUGCUUUUGUACGGAACGAAACGGCUCUGGUUAAUACCCGGGGCUAAUGACGGUACCGUAAGAAUAAGCACCGGCUAACUACGUG